rnacentral:rRNA from 1 species
GACGAACGCUGGCGGCGUGCUUAACACAUGCAAGUCGAACGGAAAGGCCCUGCUUUUGUGGGGUGCUCGAGUGGCGAACGGGUGAGUAACACGUGAGUAACCUGCCCUUGACUUUGGGAUAACUUCAGGAAACUGGGGCUAAUACCGGAUAGGAGCUCCUGCUGCAUGGUGGGGGUUGGAAAGUUUCGGCGGUUGGGGAUGGACUCGCGGCUUAUCAGCUUGUUGGUGGGGUAGUGGCUUACCAAGGCUUUGACGGGUAGCCGGCCUGAGAGGGUGACCGGCCACAUGGGGACUGAGAUGGGGCCCAGGCCCCUACGGGGGGCAGGGGGGGGGAAUUUUGCACAAGGGGGGGAAGCCUAAGGCAGCAACCCCGGGGGGGGGAGGACGGCCUUCGGGUGGAAAACCGCUUUGGCCUGUGACGAAGCGGGAGUGACGGUAAUGGGUAAAGAAGCACCGGCUAACUACGU